rnacentral:rRNA from 1 species
AGUGAACGCUGGCGGUAGGCCUAACACAUGCAAGUCGAACGGCAGCACAGUAAGAGCUUGCUCUUACGGGUGGCGAGUGGCGGACGGGUGAGGAAUACAUCGGAAUCUACUUUUUCGUGGGGGAUAACGUAGGGAAACUUACGCUAACACCGCAUAUGACCUACGGGUGAAAGCAGUGGAUCUUCGGACCUUGCGCGAUUGAAUGAGCCGAUGUCGGAUUAGCUAGUUGGCGGGGUAAAGGCCCACCAAGGCGACGAUCCGUAGCUGGUCUGAGAGGAUGAUCGGCCACACUGGAACUGAGACACGGUCCAGACUCCUACGGGAGGCAGCAGUGGGGAAUAUUGGACAAUGGGCGCAAGCCUGAUCCAGCCAUACCGCGUGGGUGAAGAAGGCCUUCGGGUUGUAAAGCCCUUUUGUUGGGAAAGAAAAGCAGCAGGUUAAUACCCCGCUGUUCUGACGGUACCCAAAGAAUAAGCACCGGCUAACUUCGUG